UACGUAGGGGGCAAGCGUUGUCCGGAUUUAUUGGGCGUAAAGAGCGUGUAGGCGGCCAUACAGGUCAGCUGUGAAAACUCGAGGCUCAACCUCGAGACGUCGGUUGAAACCGUAUGGCUAGAGUCCGGAAGAGGAGAGUGGAAUUCCCGGUGUAGCGGUGAAAUGCGCAGAUAUCGGGAAGAACACCCAUGGCGAAGGCAGCUCUCUGGGACGGUACUGACGCGGAGACGCGAAAGCGUGGGGAGCGAACAGG
rnacentral:rRNA from 1 species